rnacentral:lncRNA from 1 species
AUGGGCAUGUCAGAAAGGCAACAGCUUCCCUGGACGUGGGGUGUUUGUGUGCCGUGCCGUGGGUGCUGCUUGCUGCUGGCAGCGCUCCUUGGUUCGGGUCUGGGCUGUAGUGUGGAGGUUUUCACUGGUAUCAUAGCACACAGGGGACAAAUAAUACGGAGCAGAGGAAGGCACGGGGAUAUAAAAACAAUCCCCUCAGCAAAUGGAGGGCCACGGCACAUCAAUUUCUUUCUGCAGUGUCUGGUGGUUGUUGCAGGAAGACGCGGUGCAGCCACCUCAUCAAAAGACCCCCCUGGCUUUGUGGUACCUGGGUCUCCCCAUAGCAAGGAGACAGCAGGAGCAUAUUGUCGGUGUCUUCUGGUCUCUGAGCCUCCUGGGAGCCCGAGGAUGAUACAUGAGUUGAUUUCUUCUGGAAGGGGGAUGAGCAGCCUCCAACUUGCCAGCCCAGGAGGAAGCGUUUGGGUGUUUCGCAUGUGGUUCAGCACACAGGGGCUCAGCACCUCUCCCAGCUGCCAAGGAGUGAAUGGCCAGGAGAUCUCAGGCUUCAGCGGAGGCAGGAACCAGCUUGUUGCCGAAGAAUUUCUCACUGGUGGAUUUGAAGACAGCAGACGUGGAAAAUAA